CUCUCUUUUGGGUCAAUUAUCAAUCAACUCUCUUUUCUCUCUUUAAUCCUUCAAAUUGUUUUUUUUCAUUGAACAUUUUGAAAGCGAUUAGGAAGUUCUUAUGGAUUUCUCCACCUAGACGCUAAUUGAAAUGGGAAAUAAACCUCCAUGAAUCAACUCUUAUAGCAAAGUUGACAUCAACCACAAUUGUCACCAUAAUGGCUUGCAAAUUCCCCAUCUAUCUUUCCAGUUUCCAAACCUAAAAAAGAAUUUGCAUCAUCUUCUUCAAUCUCUCUUUCUCUCUCUUUUUUUCUCUCUCUCUCAAUAGAUAUGAUAAUUUAUUCCGCCACGGGGUUGCCAUCCUUCGUGACAAUCACCACCCUGACCAUCCUUCUCCACAGCCGCCACUACACUCCACUAACCUACAAACUCACCCACAUCGACGAAUAUGAGAAUUAGUAAGAACACAACCAGGAAGAAACAAAAGCACAAUGCUAUAAUUUGGAAGACUUAUCAAACUGAAAUGCUAUAGUAGGGGUAAAAUCGUCAAAAUUGCCAAAACCUGGAUCCCAAGUGAGAAAUGACUUCAUGCCUUCAGGUGAACCAAAAUAUUAGGGUAUAAAUGGCCAAAACAUGAAAUCUAAAUGACAUAAAGACGUAAAUUACCAAUUAAAACUCCGACACCAGUAACUAUUUCCAAUAGCAAAUUCACGGCAUAAACCAAGUUAACUAUCCUAGAAUUUUAAAAUAUGUUAAUGGUUUUAUCAUUCCUAAUUUUUGAUGUCAUGCUUCGUCUAACAAUCCAAUAUUUUCCUAUUUGUCAUAUGGUUUUGUUUCAAAUGGUUUUAUUCAAUGCAAUGUUUCCUAGCAAUAUGUAACCAAUGAUGUUUUUUUGGAAUACAAUAAAUGAUGUUGACAAUAUGUUUGAUGAAAUGCUUAAGAGAUACGUGAAUCCAAGUGGUGCAAGGAUAUUUUACAAGAAAAAACUAUGUUUUUUACUUAAUUCAAGUGAUGGUACUACUCAUGUAAUCAUAGUGAUUUGUAACUUAAUGUUUUCGUGAUGAUACCGAUGUAAAGUUCAAGAUUUGAUUUGAAUGAAAAAUCAUGACAAAAAAGUGAACACCCGAUA